rnacentral:rRNA from 1 species
CACGCAGUAAACGAUGAUUACUUGCUGUUUGCGAUACACGGUAAGCGGCGAAGCGAAAGCGUUAAGUAAUCCACCUGGGGAGUACGUUCGCAAGAAUGAAACUCAAAGGAAUUGACGGGGGCCCGCACAAGCGGAGGAACAUGUGGUUUAAUUCGAUGAUACGCGAGGAACCUUACCCGGGCUUGAAAUGCAUUCGACGGGGUCGGAAACGGCCUUUCCCUUCGGGGCGGAUGCGUAGGUGC